rnacentral:rRNA from 1 species
UUCUGACCGUAAACGAUGCCAACUAGCGAUCCGCCGGUGGCCCUAUGGCCCUGGUGGGGAGCUUCCCGGAAACGAAAGUCUUCCGGUUCCGGGGGAAGUAUGGUUGCAAAGCUGAAACUUAAAGGAAUUGACGGAAGGGCACCACCAGAGGUGGAGCCUGCGGCUUAAUUUGACUCAACACGGGAAAACUCACCCGGCCCGGACACCGUGAGGAUUGACAGAUUGAUAGCUUUUUCAUGAUUCGGUGGUUGGUGGUGCAUGGCCGUUCUUAGUUCGUGGAUCGAUUUGUCUGGUUUAUUCCGAUAACGAGCGAGACUCCAGCCUACUAAAUAGUGCUAGCAUUGCUACUGUGCCAUGCACUUCUUAGAGGGAUUGGCUGCGUCUAGCGGCACGAAACGGAGCAAUAACAGGUCUGUGAUGCCCUUAGAUGUCCGGGGCUGCACGCGCGCUACACUGGCAAAGGCAACGUGCUUGUCCGUCUCCGAAAGGAGCCGGUAAACCCUUGAAAAUUUGCCGUGAUUGGGAUCGGAAAUUGCAAUUAUUUUCCGUGAACGAGGAAUCUCUAGUAAGUGCGAGUCAUCAGCUCGCGUUG